AGAGGUUUCCAGAUUUGCUACCGUACCAACCGUAGUACGAAGUGGGAGCCGUCAUUUAACUUUUGAAAAUUAUUGAUGCAUACACUUUAUAUCAACACAUGUUUUAGGAAUCAUAUGCAGAACUGUUUUGAGAAUUUUUAGCUGUAAUUUGGGACUAAUUUCAUGUGGUUUCUUCUUGUAUUCGUAGGAAACAAUAGUGUGUGCACUCGAUUAUGCUUUCAAGCAACCGUUGCAAGUAACCGUUGGUACGAAAGGUUUAUAGUUAAGAGUUAUUUCCCCGUGAAACUACAUAGAUACAAAGAAGCUAAAUUACAAAACAAAUUUAAAACUUUAUAAAUUUUGUUUGUAAUAACUUUAUGUAUCAUUGUAAAAUGUUAAAGUUUUGUAUUUAUUUUGGUAAGUUUUUAGAAAACAUGAUCAAAUAAAAUGAAUUUGAACAAAAUAAAUUGACCUUAAUAACAAAAGAAAAAUGACAAAACUAAUAUAAAACCAAAUCGUUGUUCAGUCUGUACGCGUGAGGUCUAAAACCCUUGUCAAUGGAUAUUGAAUCAAGAUAAAAAAAAAAAA
rnacentral:lncRNA from 1 species